CUUUGAAGUCACGCGCUACUUCUCUAUCUCUGUCCUUCAGACCCAAACUCCUUCUCUACCUAAAGCCCUAUCGUUCUCAUCCCCUUACUCCUCUCUUCUCCUCUCCACCUGAAACCUUGUCAUCGCUUCCUCAUCCGACUAUCCGACUACCUCUCCGACGCAGACAUCCGACUCCAUUCGACUACCUCAUCCGCCUCCACAGCGGAAAGUUCUCAUACUCUCAUCAUUCUCCUCCGACUUGGUGGUCAGCGGGAUACUCCUCCCAUCUCAUGCUCCUCUUAUUCGACUAUACUGAUUUAACUCCUCUCAGUGCCAGAAACUUGUAAUACAUUGGAUUACCGACCAAUUGAAAAUGAAUCUCAGAUUAAAAUGGCUUCUUCUUCGGAGAUGGACACUGAAAUUCAUGACCAUGGUAGAAGGCUUCGAAGGAUG